GGGGGCUAAGGCUCAGCGGCAGGAAGCGGAGGGACGCGUGCUCGGCCGGGUCCACCUCUGCGGGCGCACGGCCUGGGACGCGGGUGACUUUCGCUCACUCUGAGGUCUAGGCUGUGACUGCCCGGCUCCCGCUAGGAAGCUGUUCACCGGUUGGAUAUGAGAGAAAUGCCUGAAGAGUUAACACUGAGUGCGCCUUCUUCACAAGACCUGCUUUUCAUUGCAAGGUUGGUUGGAUUUGCACGCUUCUCCAGCAAAUGAACGCUGCACUUUCGAAAAGCAGGAGAAACCUGGAGUACCCACAUCACCCACAUCACUGGGAUCUGUUGCUCUCAGAGAAGUCAGCAGUGACAUGCAGAUUGCAGAUCCACUGGCCUGUCUUCUGUUUUUGUCCUCACUGACUGCUUUGUGUUAUUUGAGACUGGUGACUUCACUUGAAAUUUUAACCUCCUUUUGGCUUCAGAGCCCUCGGCCCUUGUGAUCACUGCAUCUGUCUUCGAUCCCACUUUUGUAGGCUCCUUCACUGCACUUUUUCUCCUCUCCCUUUGCAUGUGACUCCUUACGCUGGUGAGAUUUUCUUCAUUUAUUUUCUCUCUAGGCAAACUCCCUGCCACCUGUCACUGAAGCCUGCUAGGUCUCUGUCACUCUUCUUACCCCUCUUCAGAUCUCCACAUGCUUUAUUUCCAGCCAUUUGUGGGGAGUUACCACCUGGAUAUUUCAAAGGCACCUGCCAUUCUUCACAUCUAAGAUGGGAAUUUCGUGUCUUCUCUAACCAUCAGUCUGUCCUCUCAUUCCCAUCGAGUUUCUUCCUCAUUCUGAAUCUCACUUCUUGAAGUUGGAUCUCAUGGUGCAUUGAGAGCUAAACAUUUAAGGGGUUUAGAACCAUGGUACUAGGCUUAUACAGGGUCCACCUGAUAAAUAUUUCUGCCGUGGCACAAAAGACUCUGCAAGUAGCCUAGGGGAGUAUAUAUACUCCUACGGACCUUCUGAGAAGAAGUCCUCCAGGUGUGGAACUGCUCCGGCACCGCAGAUGACUCCAGGGGCUAGUGGCAGAAAGGCCUUCAGUUGAGGCCACUGCACUGUUCUAGCAGUCUCACCUGCCAGAAGCUUCUGCCGCCAUAAGAAGAACCAUGAGGAUGUGGUCAGAGACCUAUUAUGCUCUGAGGAAUGCCUUAUCAUAUUCCACUAGACUUUAUAGAAAGUUCCUAAAAACUGUACCCAACUAACUUUGUAUCGUGCUUUUCAAUUAUAAUGCACUUACACACAUAUUAUUUAAUAAAAAGGAAAUGGUAUCAGAGAAAGGCAGUCUGAGAGCACAUUUCUCAAAUCUCCUGGUGCAUUGAAAACAUAUGUGCAUAUGCUGUUCUCUUGGAGAGACUGAGUUUGAGAGUCUGACCACCUUUUGGGAAACACCAGUGGUGGUUCCCAUACUGUUUCUUGGAAUCACCAGACGACACUUAUUAAGAAUACUACCUCCUGGGGGGCGCCUGGGUGGCACAGCGGUUAAGCGUCUGCCUUCGGCUCAGGGCGUGAUCCCGGCG